rnacentral:lncRNA from 1 species
AUCAAAUAAGGUCUUCUAAUUGAUUUGGAUCAAGCCCAAUCCAAUUGGGUUAAGUCCCAUCAAUUGGGUCAAGCUCAAUCUACUUGGGUUGAACCCAAUCCAAUUAGGUCAAACCCUGAUGCAGCCCAAAUUGAAUCCUAUUCAAUUUGGCUCAACCUAAGCCCAAUUUACUCAAUCAAAUUGAGUUCAUUAGCAAUCUAAUUGCUAAUUAAUCCUCAAAUAAUUCAAUAAUUAUUUUAAUGCAACUUUUGCUUAGGAUAAUUUGUCAAUCGAAUUGACCAAAUUAUCCCUGAAUGAUUCUUAAUCAUCAAUCAGCCAUUUGAUCAACCUAGAAACUUCUAUGCGUGUGACCUCAUAGGUUCGAACCUAAGCUGGUAGUAUAGGAACGUCUUCCUAUACUAAUCGAUGUGACCA